rnacentral:rRNA from 1 species
GCAUGGCUGUCGUCAGCUCGUGUCGUGAGAUGUUCGGUAGUCCGCUAACGAGCGCAACCCUCGCUGUGUGUUAUAUGUGUCACACGGGACUGCCGGUCUUAAGCCGGAGGAAGGUGGGGAUGACGUCAAGUCAGCAUGGCCUUUAUGUCUGGGGCUACACACACGCUACAAUGGCCAGUACAAUAGGUUGCAAGACCGCGAGGUGGAGCCAAUCCUAAAAAGCUGGUCUCAGUUCGGACUGCAGGCUGCAACUCGCCUGCAUGAAGUCGGAGUUGCUAGUAACCGCGCGUCAGCUAUAGUGCGGUGAAUACGUUCCCGGGCCUU